UCAGAGCAGCCCUCGUAGAUCUUCACAGACCUUAGCACAUGCAGAAAGGGCCCUGGUCCCAGCAGGCUGCAAACCAAACUCUCCUCUUUGGUCUGAAUGCUUUUAGUGCCACUUGAAUUGUGGAAAUAACCCUAGAGGACAGAUAUCACUCAUUAAAGGUGUACAGUUAAUGAUCUAGAGCUGCUAAAAAGAAAAAAAAAAAUGUAUUUCCACAAUCUGUAUGUUUCCACACUAUGCUAGUAUUCCCCAAGCAAACCUAAGGCCUUUGUUGUGUAUCUUCUGAGAUGAACCUGAUUUCCUCCACUUCUCUCUUUGCCACCUCUCUCCUCUUUCACAGGACUGUGGCUUCACCUGCCUGGGAGAGAUUUUCCCUACAGUGUCUCAGCCUGGGAAAGCCCUUUUCUCUGGUGGAAGCUCAGCCUCACAGCUGGGACCAGCAGCUGAGGGGAAGGUUUAAUGAGCGUCUGUGGCAGUGAAUAAAGGCUGACUUGAUUAGAAAUGAGACUGCGUUGGAUCCGACCACAACCAUUACAAAAAAACAUAUUUCCUAGACAGUAUCUACCUCAACAUCCAAAUACUACAAAAUAGCAUUAAGAAGAUUCAAAAUAUUGUCUGGAAGAGCAGGUGACACAGCAGGUCAUUUGGUAGCAAUAUCCAUGUGCACUGAGAAGGUCCAAAGAACCACUUUCCUCUAAAGGACAGUGGGAUAGACUGGCAGCGGCGAGGAAAACUUUCUUACUGGAACUAGGAAUGCGUAUGCGACUUUCAUUCUCCAGAACAAACCUCAAGUCUUACAACAAAUGUGACUGACAACCAAACUUUGCGUCUUUAACAUAUGUGUUGAAUCAUUACAAUUAAAUGAGUUGCAAAUAAGAAGUAAUACAAAGAAGCUGAGAAGGAGAGACUUCAAGUUAACCAGGUCAACAAUAUAUCUACUGCUGAUUUUUCGAAAUUAACUGAUCUUAACAGAUGAUAAACAAGGGCAGACAGAACAGAGAAAGACACAGAACAGAGAAAACAGUUUGUGGAAGGAGAAAUGAUAAUGUGUCCACCACAAAUGAAUAAACUGAUACUAUAUAUGGUACA
rnacentral:lncRNA from 1 species